rnacentral:rRNA from 1 species
GACGAACCGAGCGAACGUUAUUCGGAAUCACUGGGCUUAAAGGGCGCGUAGGCGGGCCGUCAAGUCAGGGGUGAAAGCCCCCCGCUCAACUGGGGAAGUGCCUCUGAUACUGGCGGCCUCGAGGGAGGUAGGGGCGUGCGGAACUUCCGGUGUAGCGGUGAAAUGCGCAGAUAUCAGGAGGAACACCAAUUGCGAAGGCAGCUCGCUGGGACGUUACUGACGCUGAGACGCGAAAGCGUGGGGAGCAAACAGG